rnacentral:rRNA from 1 species
UACAGAGGAUGCAAGCGUUAUCCGGAAUGAUUGGGCGUAAAGCGUCUGUAGGUGGCUUUUUAAGUCCGCCGUCAAAUCCCAGGGCUCAACUCUGGACAGGCGGUGGAAACUACCAAGCUGGAGUACGGUAGGGGCAGAGGGAAUUUCCGGUGGAGCGGUGAAAUGCGUAGAUAUCGGAAGGAACACCUGUGGCGAAAGCGGCUCACUGGACCAUAACUGACGCUGAGGAGCGAAAGCGUGGGGAGCGAACAGG